UUUCCCUUACCUCCAGCCGCCGCUCCUCAAGCCGGCAACCGCCGCCCGCGCACGUCGCCGCCCAUGCCGCCGCUUUCCUCGCCCUUCCCCACACCCACGCACCUCCCCACGUUGCCGACCAUGUCCCGUCGUUUCCCGCCCUCGCGCACGCCCGAGAAUGGGCGGGAUUCGUUUCGAAUCCCCUCCCCCCUCUCUCUCUCCCUCCACUCCCCCACGUCGCCAGCCAAAUCAACCACCCUCCCAGCCACGUUCUCCCCUCCCAUGCCCAUAAAAUCCUUCCCCCGAGCCUCCUCUCCCGUUUUCCACAUUCGCCGCGCCCUCCCGUGCUUCCUACCGCCGCCGCGCCGUCACACCGAGCUCCGCCCCCUGCCACCGCACUCCGAACGAGCGCCACCGCCGCUAGAGCUGCCGCCGCACCGUGAAGUCGUCGUCAUCGCGCUCGCGGGUGCCGCCCGCUCCUCGGCCGCCGCUUGGUUGCCACCAAUCACCCCCGAAGCCCUGUUUCCCUCGCUCACCGGUGUCGCCACUGCCCGUCCGCGCCUCGGCAUCGCCGGUCGUCGCCGCCACCCUCGUUUUCUGCACCGGUCGCCGCCACCCCCUCCGAUUUCGGCAGUUUUGUCGAUCUGCGGUUUCUCGAAGACGUUGCUGUGG